rnacentral:rRNA from 1 species
UACGGGGGGGGCAAGCGUUGUUCGGAAUUACUGGGCGUAAAGGGCUCGUAGGUGGCCAACUAAGUCGGACGUGAAAUCCCCGGGCUCAACCCGGGAACUGCGUCCGAUACUGGCAGGCUUGAAUUCGGGAGAGGGAUGCGGAAUUCCAGGUGUAGCGGUGAAAUGCGUAGAUAUCUGGAGGAACACCGGUGGCGAAGGCGGCAUCCUGGACCGGCAUUGACGCUGAGGCGCGAAAGCGUGGGGAGCGAACCGG